rnacentral:lncRNA from 1 species
GCUAGCUGUGCAUCUCAGUAGCUGUGCCUGAGGUAUACAGGAAGCAAUCUUCAUGUUUAUCCACUUGGUAUGAUGAAUGGCAAGAUGUGUGCAUGUGUGCAAAAGUGUCAAACUGGGAUUUUUACCCACAAAAUGCUCCAUCUAACAAGUUUUGCAUGUGUUUAUCUCAGUAUCACAUGGAGUACAAUACACCCAGACCACAUUCCUGUCACAAAAAUGUGUAUUUUAUCAUAAUAAAAUGUGGGUGGGACUCAUAAUUGCUGCACUGGGGAAAGCAAAAGCCCAGCUGUGCAUUUACCCACUUGGUAGACAAAUAGCAAAGUGUGUACAGGAGCUCCAAAGCAGCAACAGGUGAGGGCAACCCAUGAAAUGCUGCUCAUUGCUGAAUUUCUGUGCAUUUAGAAUUAUUAUUAUUGUUAUUAUUUUUGUACCACAGAUCAAACUCAGGACCUUGUGCCUAUGAGGCAGGCAGCAGAACCACUGAGCUAAAUUCCCAACCCCCUUAGAAUUUGUUUUUUAAAAAGUUUUCUUUUGAUUUUUCUGGUAGAAGUAGUCUAAUUCAGUACAGUGGCACAUGAAAAACUGGAUUUGUAAAUUUUGGAGGAAGUCAAAAGUGAGUCAUCAGAUUACUCAUGCAUGGAUAAUGAAGAUGAUAAUGACUUUGAUGUUGCCCAUGUGAGCCAAAGUUCCAGCGACAGUGAAAUGAAGCUAGGACUGACUGACACAGACACAGGGAAUGCAGACCUCCUUGGUUCAGAUGACAAAGAAAACAGUACUGGAACUAUGGGAAAAAAUCGUGGAGCACACUGGUGAGCUGACAGGUGAAAAGGCAAGCACAGCAUCACAAAGACCUAUGAUGACAACAGGAAAACCAAAAGGAUGUCGACUGUGCCCUACAAGAAAGGACAGGAAAAUAAAACAUACGUGCUAUCUGUAUAAACAAUACUUGUGUACGGAGCAUGCAGUUCUCAUGUGAGAGGGCUGCCUUGGUUGUGGUUGUGACAGUUGGAGCAAAAGUUAUUUCUGUGGGAGACUUUUGUUUGCUUGUUUUUCUUUCUUUUUUUUGGUACUGGGAAUUGAACUCGGGUCCUUGAGCUUGCCAGGGAGGCUACCAUACCACUGAGCUAAAUCCCUGACCCCUUUUUUUUGAGACAGGGCCUCACUACGUAGUUGAGACUGACCUUGAACUCACUGUGUAGCCCAGGCUGGUCUCAAACUCACAAUGAUCCUCCUGCCUUAGCCUCCUCAGUGCUGGGAUUACAGGUGUGCACCACAACGCCAGGGCUUUUUGUUUGUAUUUUGCAAGGCAGGUGGCAGCACCACUGAGCUAAAUCCACAACCCC